rnacentral:lncRNA from 1 species
AACCGUUAAGAGGCGUCGACUAACUUCUCUUGCCUCUAACGGUCACCUAGAACGUCUACAUGGAGGCCUAACGCUAGCUGGUAGAUUUCCGGGAACUUCCAGAAGCUUGUGUGGUCGAUUCUUCAUCUAAAUACGUUGCAAUUGUGAGGUUCAUCCUUGUAACCGAAGAGUAGAAGAUUUGCCUCGUGGACGACUAAUCAGUAAACCUUCCAGCAAGUCUAACGGUAAUAGGCUCAACUCAGAGGAAGUGGAGUCUCUCCUAUUGCACAAAAAUUAUGUCUGCCACUGGUGAAGAGGAUGGGAACAUACUUCAUCCACCUGAAAUUCAUGAAAUUCAAGAAAUUGAAGGACCACAAGCAAUUGAAACUCUCCUGAACUAUUGUCAGAUUAUAUUUAAAACUGUUCAACGAAUGGAAAAAAGGUUUGAUGAAAUUGAUGAAAAACUAACAAAAGUUUAUUAUGCUCGUUCCAGAUCCUUCUGGAAUUAUCCUCCUUUGAAAUCUGCAACCAGAAAGUACAAUUACUUGACGCCUAAAAAAAGACGUAAAGUGCAGAAAGUGAGAGAAGUAGUUGAUGAUGAUCCCUUUGCCUAUCCUCAAAGUUACAGUCCAACUUCACCAGUCCGAAGGAGGGAAGGAUAUAACCAGGAUAUGGAAAACAUCGAGCCCAUGGACUGCACUCUGCCUUUCCAGUACACUGAUACUAUUGACAACAGCCAGACUUUCCAGUACACCGAUACUGUCGACCUCAACCAGACUGUCCAGUACACC